UACGUAGGGAGCAAGCGUUGUCCGGAAUCAUUGGGCGUAAAGCGCGCGUAGGUGGCCUCAUAAGUCCGCUGUGAAAGUCAAAGGCUCAACCUUUGAAAGCCGGUGGAUACUGUGAGGCUAGAGUACGGAAGAGGCGAGUGGAAUUCCGGGUGUAGCGGUGGAAUGCGUAGAGAUCCGGAAGAACACCAGUGGCGAAGGCGGCCCGCUGGGCAGUGGCUGACGCUGAGGCGCGACAGCGUGGGGAGCAAACAGG
rnacentral:rRNA from 1 species